UACGUAGGGUGCAAGCGUUGUCCGGAAUUAUUGGGCGUAAAGAGCUCGUAGGCGGUCUGUCGCGUCGGCUGUGAAAACCCGAGGCUCAACCUCGGGCCUGCAGUCGAUACGGGCAAACUAGAGUACUGCAGGGGAGACUGGAAUUCCAGGUGUAGCGGUGAAAUGCGUAGAUAUCUGGAGGAACACCGGUGGCGAAGGCGGCAUCCUGGACCGGCAUUGACGCUGAGGAGCGAAAGCCAGGGGAGCAAACGGG
rnacentral:rRNA from 1 species